rnacentral:rRNA from 1 species
CGCGGUAAUACGGAAGGUCCGGGCGUUAUCCGGAUUUAUUGGGUUUAAAGGGAGCGUAGGCCGGAGAUUAAGCGUGUUGUGAAAUGUAGACGCUCAACGUCUGCACUGCAGCGCGAACUGGUUUCCUUGAGUACGCACAAAGUGGGCGGAAUUCGUGGUGUAGCGGUGAAAUGCUUAGAUAUCACGAAGAACUCCGAUUGCGAAGGCAGCUCACUGGAGCGCAACUGACGCUGAAGCUCGAAAGUGCGGGUAUCGAACAGGAUUAGAUACCCUGGUAGUCCGCACGGUAAACGAUGGAUGCCCGCUGUUGGUCUGAAUAGGUCAGCGGCCAAGCGAAAGCAUUAAGCAUCCCACCUGGGGAGUACGCCGGCAACGGUGCAACUCAAAUGAAUUGACGG